AUUCCAGGUUUCUCAAUAAGCCUUUAAAAUGUAUCAGAUGCACAACCCAAUGUAGAAGAAAGAGAUAUGCUGCUCACCAUUCUAGACCUUCUACUCUAUACCCUAUCUAAGUGAAGCAGCAACAAACACUCCUGGUGACUGCAUUUCACUCAUCCUUUCCUAUAGUGUGGUGGAAUUUGGGAUUCCAAGUGUGAUUUACUUUGUCUUUGUUAAAUGUGAAACACAACUAUUGUGAUCCUUUUCCUUUGCAUUACAAUUUCACUGCCAUUCAACUUACACCUUCUGCUAAAACACCCUCUGUCAUCUGGAGAUUUGGCAAAUAGGCCCUUGUUCAUAUAAAAUUUUCUAGUAAGGUCAAAGACAAAGAGCUCUGUAUCACAUGACCUCCUUCAAUACUGAUAUUGACACUAUGCUUAAGAAUCUUCUCAACUUGGAAAUAUUUGCAGCCAGACUGGAUUUACAAAUAAGUGAAACACUUGGAUUUUUUUCAAAGGAAGCAUCAAAUAUUCCCAGCCUGCCAAAAUGCAUUUCCAAUUCUCUCUAAUACUCAGACUUUCAAAGUAUCUAAAGUUUUUCCUCCUUAAAAUGAGCCUACCUGAGGCCCUAAUUUCUAUCAUGUGGGAUUAGACCCCAACUUCCUUAGAGAAACUCCUGUGGCACUAGAAUUAAAAUCAAGAAUCAAUAAAUGGGAUGGAUUCAAACUAAAAAGUUUCUUCUCAGCAAAAGAAAUAAUCUGUUAGGUGAAUAGAGAGCCUACAUUUUGGGAACAAAUCUUUACCCCUCAUAAAUCAGAUAGAGCACUAAUAUCUAAGAUACAUAAAGAACUCAAAAAGCUAAGCACCAAAAAAACAAAUAACCCAAUCAAUAAAUGGGCCAAGGACCUGAACAGACACAUCUCAGAAGAUGAUAUACAAUCAAUCUACAAGUAUAUGAAAAAAUGUUCAUCAUCACAAGCGAUUAGAGAAAUGCAAAUCAAAACUACUAUAAGAUUUCAUCUUAUUCCAGUCAGAAUGGCAGCUAUUAUGAAUACAAACAACAGUAAGUGUUGGCGAGGAUGUAGGGGAAAAGGUACACUCAUACACUGCUGGUGGGACUGCAAAUUGCAGCCAAUUUGGAAAGCAGUAUGGGGAUUUCUUGGAAAACUGGGAAUGCAACCACCAUUUGACCCAGCUAUCUCUCCUUAGUCUAUACCCAAAGGACUUAAAACAGCAUAUCACAGGGACACAGCCACAUCAAUGUUUAUAACAGCACAAUUCACAAUAGCUGAACUGUGG
rnacentral:lncRNA from 1 species